rnacentral:tRNA from 1 species
GGUCUGUUAGCUCAGUUGGUUAGAGCGUCGUACUAAUACGCCAUAAGUGUAUCAAGUAAUGCGAAGGUCAGCGGUUCGACCCCGCUACGGACCA